AUUGAACGCUGGCGGCAUGCCUUACACAUGCAAGUCGAACGGCAGCACGGGAGUAAUCCUGGUGGCGAGUGGCGAACGGGUGAGUAAUGUAUCGGAACGUGCCCAAUCGUGGGGGAUAACGCUGCGAAAGCUGUGCUAAUACCGCAUACGAUCUAUGGAUGAAAGCGGGGGAUCGCAAGACCUCGCGCGAUUGGAGCGGCCGAUAUCAGAUUAGCUAGUUGGUGGGGUAAAAGCUUACCAAGGCGACGAUCUGUAGCUGGUCUGAGAGGACGACCAGCCACACUGGAACUGAGACACGUUCCAGACUCCUACGGGAGGCAGCAGUGGGGAAUUUUUGACAAUGGGCGCAAGCCUGAUCCAGCAAUGCCGCGUGCAGGAUGAAGGCCUUCGGGUUGUAAACUGCUUUUGUACGGAGCGAAAAGGCUCUCUCUAAUACAGGGGGCUCAUGACGGUACCGUAAGAAUAAGCACCGGCUAACUACGUGCCAGCAGCCGCCGUAA
rnacentral:rRNA from 1 species